GCCAGGUGAGGUGGCACAUGCCUGUAUUCCCAGCUACUUGGAAGGCUGAGGUCGGAGGAUCGCUUGAGCCCAGGAGUUCUGGGCUGUAGUGUGCUAUGCUGAUUGGGUGUCUGCACUAAGUUCAGCAUCAAUAUGGUAACCUCCCAGGAGCAGGGGACCACCAGGUUGCCUAAGGAGGGAUGAACUGACCCAGGUUGGAAAAGGAGCAGGUCAAAACUCUUGUGCUGAUCAGUAAUGGAAUCAUGCCUGUGAAUAACCACUGCACUCCAGCCUGGGCAACAUAGCAAAGCCCCAUCUCU
ensembl:misc_RNA Metazoa_SRP Metazoan signal recognition particle RNA